UACAGAGGUCCCAAGCGUUGUUCGGAUUCACUGGGCGUAAAGGGCGCGCAGGCGGCGCAUUUUGUCAGGCGUGAAAGCCCCGGGCUUAACCUGGGAACUGCGUUUGAUACGGAUGGGCUAGAGUUCGGGAGAGGAGAGUGGAAUUCCCAGUGUAGAGGUGAAAUUCGUAGAUAUCUGGAGGAACACCGGUGGCGAAGGCGACAUCCUGGACCGGUAUUGACGCUGAGGCGCGAAAGCCAGGGGAGCAAACGGG
rnacentral:rRNA from 1 species